GGGAUAACGUUUGGAAACGAACGCUAAUACCGCAUAAGACCACACUUCCACAUGGGAGAGGGGUCAAAGGAGCAAUCCGCUGAAAGAUGGGCUCGCGUCCGAUUAGAUAGUUGGGGGGGUAACGGCCCACCAAGUCGACGAUCGGUAGCCGGACUGAGAGGUUGAACGGCCACAUUGGGACUGAGACACGGCCCAGACUCCUACGGGAGGCAGCAGUGAGGGAUAUUGGUCAACGGGGGAAACCCUGAACCAGCAACGCCGCGUGAGGGAAGACGGUUUUCGGAUUGUAAACCUCUGUCCUCUGUGAAGAUAAUGACGGUAGCAGAGGAGGAAGCUCCGGCUAACCACGUGCCAGCAGCCGCGGUAAUACGUAGGGAGCGAGCGUUGUCCGGAUUUACUGGGUGUAAAGGGUGCGUAGGCGGGUAAGCAAGUCAGAAGUGAAAUCCAUGGGCUUAACCCAUGAACUGCUUUUGAAACUGUUUAUCUUGAGUGAAGUAGAGGUAGGCGGAAUUCCCGGUGUAGCGGUGAAAUGCGUAGAGAUCGGGAGGAACACCAGUGGCGAAGGCGGCCUACUGGGCUUUAACUGACGCUGAAGCACGAAAGCGUGGGUAGCAAACAGGAUUAGAUACCCUGGUAGUCCAUGCCGUAAACGAUGAUUACUAGGUGUGGGGGGACUGACCCCCUCCGUGCCGGAGU
rnacentral:rRNA from 1 species